rnacentral:rRNA from 1 species
CAGCCGCCGCGGUAAUACGAAGGGGGCUAGCGUUGUUCGGAAUCACUGGGCGUAAAGGGUGCGUAGGCGGAUACUUAAGUCAGGGGUGAAAUCCCGAGGCUCAACCUCGGAACUGCCUUUGAUACUGGGUGUCUUGAGUCCGGAAGAGGUGAGUGGAACUGCGAGUGUAGAGGUGAAAUUCGUAGAUAUUCGCAAGAACACCGGUGGCGAAGGCGGCUCACUGGUCCGGAACUGACGCUGAGGCACGACAGCGUGGGGAGCAAACAGGAUUAGAUACCCGUGUAGUCCCUGUCUCUUAUAC